rnacentral:rRNA from 1 species
GGAAGUAAAAGUCGUAACAAGGUUUCCGUAGGUGAACCUGCGGAAGGAUCAUUGUCGAAACCUGCAUAGCAGAACGACCUGUGAACAUGUAACAACAAUUGGGUGUUCGAAGUAUUGGGCUCUUGUCCGAUUCCUAGGAUGCCAUGUUGAUGUGCGUCUUUGGCAAGCCCGUUGGGUUUCCAAGGACGUCACGUCGACGCAACAACAAACCCCCGGCACGGCAUGUGCCAAGGAAAUAUAAACUUAAGAAGGGCUUGUUUCAUGCUUUGUCGUUCGCGGUGAUUGCAUUGAAACUUGCUACUUUAUAAUCAUAAACGACUCUCGGCAACGGAUAUCUCGGCUCACGCAUCGAUGAAGAACGUAGCAAAAUGCGAUACUUGGUGUGAAUUGGAGAAUCCCGUGAACCAUCGAGUUUUUGAACGCAAGUUACACCCGAAGUCUUUUGGUUGAGGGCACGUCUGCCUGGGCGUCACACAUCGCGUCGCCCCCAUCACACCUAAGGUGCGGUUGGCUGAAUUUUGAGUCCUCUUCGACGGACGUAUGAUUAGUGGUGGUUGACAAGACCUUCUUAUCAAGUCGUGUGUUCUAAGAAGUAAGGAAGAUCUCUUUAAUGACCCUAAUGUGUUGUCUCAUGACGAUGCUCCGACUGCGACCCCAGGUCAGGCGGGACUACCCGCUGAGUUUAAGCAUAUCAAUAAGCGGAGGA